rnacentral:rRNA from 1 species
AGGGAUAAGGGGUGCCACCAUCAGGUGGCCGCAGAGAAUAGGCCCAAGCGACUGUUUACCAAAAACAUAGGUUUCUGCUAAGUCGAAAGACGAUGUAUAGGAGCUGACGCCUGCCCGGUGCUGGAAGGUUAAGGGGAUCUGUUAGAGCAAUCGAAGCAGUGAACUUAAGCCCCAGUAAACGGCGGCCGUAACUAUAACGGUCCUAAGGUAGCG